rnacentral:tRNA from 1 species
GGGCCAGUAGCUCAGCCGGCCAGAGCACCCGGUUUGCAUCCGGGAGGCCAAGGGUUCGACUCCCUUCUGGUCCA